rnacentral:tRNA from 1 species
GGCUUUGUAGUGUAGUGGUUAGCACAUCUGCUUUACAUGCAGAAGGUCCUGGGUUUGCACCCCAGGUGGAGCCA